GAUGAACGCUAGCGGCAGGCCUAAUACAUGCAAGUCGAACGGUGUCUUCGGACAUAGUGGCGCACGGGUGCGUAACACGUAUGCAACCUACCUUACAUUGGGGGAUAGCCUUUCGAAAGGGAGAUUAAUACCGCAUAAGACAGUAGCUGGGCAUCCAGCAGCUGUUAAAGAUUUAUCGAUGUAAGCUGGGCAUGCGUCCAACUAGCUAGUUGGUGAGGUAACGGCUCACCAAGGCAAUGAUUGGUAGGGGAACUGAGAGGUCAAUCCCCCACACUGGCACUGAGAUACGGGCCAGACUCCUACGGGAGGCAGCAGUAGGGAAUAUUGGGCAAUGGACGCAAGUCUGACCCAGCCAUGCCGCGUGCAGGAUGAAGGCGUUAUGCGUUGUAAACUGCUUUUAUACAGGAAGAAACGACUCAUGCGAGAGGCAUUGACGGUACUGUAUGAAUAAGCACCGGCUAACUCCGUGCCAGCAGCCGCAGUAAAAC
rnacentral:rRNA from 1 species